rnacentral:siRNA from 1 species
AACAAUUGUGUCUAUGUGAUGA